rnacentral:lncRNA from 1 species
GAAAAAUGAGAAGAAAAUGUCUAUACUGAAGAACAGAGACAAAAGGAUAGGAAAUGCAGAAAAGGGCAAAAGCAGCAUGUAUGGGUCACUAGGACAAGGUCUAGCAAAUGUAACUGAGUCCCAGAAAGAGAACUGAAAGAAAGAGAAUGAAGUAGAAGCAACGUUUGAAGACACAAUGGCUAAGAAUUUCCGAAACUGAGGAACAACUUAGACAAGAGUUAAGAUGUUCGUCAAACCCAUGGGAUUAUAAACAAACAAGCAAAACAAAAUAAAACAAAGAAACACAGAGAGUAUCUUGAUGAGGCCAGCCCCACGGCCUAGUGGCUAACUUUGGCGUGCUCGGCUUCUGCGGCCCAGGUUCUGUUUCUGGGCACGGACCUGCACCCCUCGGCAGCGGCCGUGCUAUAGCAGCAACCCUCAUUCAAAACAGAAGAAGACUGACACAGAUGUUAGCUCAGGGCGAAUCUUCCUCAACAAAACAAACAAAAAACAAAACAAGAGUGUGGUCUUGUAGGAAAUGAUGAUAAGGUGGUCUGAACUGAGGAGUAAGAUUCAAUCAACUGUCUCUCAAGUUUCCCAUCCCGUUACAGUUGUCGUUUCCAUACAUGUCAUUCUCUCAUUUAAAAAAACCCAGAAAACAAAGACAGCUCUUGAACCAACCAGAGAACACAAAAAAUGGGAAGCCAAAGUACAGAAGAAUAUAAGGGUAAAGAUUAUCUUGCACCCGCAUACUCCGCCUUUUCUCCUGUUUCGACAGACAGCCUCUCUCUGCUCCGAACUAAGGCCAAGCUCAGCAUUUGUGCACUACGUCCCAUCCCCUCUUACUGAGUAUGUGGCUCCAGCAGUUUGCCCUGUCUCCUUCUUUCUCAGCUUUUUCUUCUCUGUGGGUUACAUCCAUGAGCAUCAAAAUGUUCUUAUUUCUCCCAUUCUAAAUAAACCUCCUUUUAAAAUUACUUUUACCAUCAGCUACUGCCCUG